UGGCGCAAUCCAUCGCCUGUCACGUGGCCCCGCCCUCUUGCUUCCGGUUUGGAAUUCAGAAUUAGCCUUGAGGGUUGGAGAUUUGGGCAGGGGAGGGAACGAGAGUUGGGCGGGGACGGGAAGGGCUAAAGGCGUGGAAUCGGAAGUGGUGAAUGCUCACCGGGAGCCAUGAAUUUAUUAAGAGUUGGAUAUUGAGGGAGCACGAAGGAAACGAAGCACGAAGCACGAAGGAGAGUGCAAGACUUCUCUCUUCUGUCCUCAUUGAAAAGGCAGCCAGCUUUUGUAACCUUGCCUUGGGGAUGUUAGCAGGAGAAAUGUUGGCAAUUCAAGGCUCUUCUGGUUUUAUAAGAAAACCAGGUUUUGCUGGGAGGCCUGGAGUAGAAGAGAGGGCCUCGGAGAAGCAAAAAUGGGAGGAGACAUGCCUAGAGAUCAGGAAGAGGUAAG